rnacentral:lncRNA from 1 species
CACCAGUGGCACCCAUGGGACCGUCGUGGCCACAGGAGCUGACCACAAUCUUAGCCUCCAUAACAUUGGGGUCCAUGCAAGAUUGUGUGUCGUGGUUCUGAGAAACCAAAGACCAGUUAGUGACAACACCACCAACUCUUCCGUUCUUCACAAUAAGGUCCUCUGUUGCAACAGCAUUGAAGAGCUUCACGUUUGGCCUGGCCAAAAGCUUGCUCAUGAUGGUUGAGGUGAACAAGGCAGCGUGCUUGAUGACCACGUAGUUGUCUUGCUCGUCAUAGUCUAUGCCUAGCUCGUUCAGGAAAAGAUGUGCCGGCUUCCUCACAACCAUGGCUGAGAAGAGUUGUCCACCUAGCCAGGCACCUCCACCAGGGCUCACUGAUUGCUCAAGUAUGGCCACCUACACAAACCAAGUAAAUUCACAUAAACAACUUAUAACAAGUACAAAUUGGAGAAAAUAGGUAUUGUAAUCAGCAACUAUAAUCUAAUCAAGAACACUUAGCAGUUAGAACAUUGAAUGACUUCCCUGUGAUCAUGAAUGCGUGUACCAGCCAGAGGCAGAUCUAGGAUAAAUUAGGUGUGCUCAAUUAAAUUCAUUGCUAUUUAUAUAUAUAUAUGAUAACCGGGGUGGAGUUUCAAGCCAAACGCCGAACCCAAUAGCUUUUGUUCAAACAGUGUAUUUGAAGUUUAAAAUUCAUCAAAUAUAUGUACAAAUAUUAAAUUUAGAAUCUAGUCGCUAACAUGUGAAGUCGUGUACUAAAAUCCAAAACCCAUAAGAUUGUAAUUAUUGUUCUACCUAUGUAUGCAAACCAAUUUUGAACUUACUUAACUCUAGAUCAUAAAUUGAGGAUAAGAUUAUCACAAAAGCAGUUUCACUGGUUCACAAGUAUAUAAACAACUUUUUUUUUUUAGCAGAGAAAGAGUAUUAUCUUAUUUAAACCAUAGUCUUAAGAUUAAACAUAAACUGGUAGAAGCAGAACCAAUACCAAUUACAGCACAACCCUAGAACUAGACCCACAGUAAGCAAGCAGUAACUGAUAGAUUAAAAUUAAAAACAAAGCCAAAAACGGCGACUUAAAUAUAGAUAAACUAGAUCAUCAUCAACGUCCUCACAUCUAGCAGAGUUGACCACAGUCAGCAAUCACAACAGGCUUGGAGCACCUGCCAGAUCCAGAUCCAACAGCCUCAGCCUUCUUAAUCACAUCAUAGCCUUCAACAACUUGACCGAACACAACAUGCUUGCCAUCGAGCCACUCAGUCUUAGCGGUGCAGAUAUAUAUAAACAACUUUCGCUAAUAAACAUGUGAUUUUUUCUCGCUCAAGUUGCACGAGGCCUAAGGAAAAAGGUGUCACAUGAUUUGUAGGUACGAGUAAACCUUCAAGUACCUUUAAUAAGAAGCCCGUGUUUUUUUUUCCUCUCAGCUACCAAGUCUUAUAUGAAUUUUCUUUUAUACUUUUCAAUUUAGUAGAAAUACAAGCGAAGCCGGAAAAUAAAUUCCAAGAUUUCCAUCUUUCCGCUAUUAGAAUUUAAUUGAAAAUAUCCAUUAGGCACACGUCACAGGUGCCAGUUCUUCUACACAACAAAAGCCUGAGUAUUUAAAUGAAAAAUUAUAGGGAAAGCUAAUCUGGGGCUAAAUGGUUUUGUGAGUCUUUACAAAUUUGUUUUUCAAUUUUAUGACCUUAUCUUUCUAUUUCAGUACGAGGUCUAAAAAAGAUACUUUCUUAACGUAAAGGGCUAUGAUAGCCCAUUUUCCCGCUGAUUUGAACCGUAUGUCACUUCUGUUAGUAUUUCCUUACCAUAAAAUAUUUUAAACUUAAUUGACAAAAUAAACACAAGCCAAUAUUUGAUCUUUCGUGACUUUUGUCUUUUUCUAUCACAAUACUGCCAGACACAUAUAUUAGAGCAUUCUGCAGCAGGCCUAGAUUUAUCUCAUCUUAAAUUUGGAAAAAAAUAAAUAGACACAAAUGAAAAGAAAAAGGAUACCUGAACGUUAGGGUUCUUGCUGAUCUCAUAAGCACAAGAGAGACCAGCAGAGCCAGCGCCAACGAUGACAACAUCAGUGUCAGCAUAGGUGAUCAUGUCAGUCAUGUACCUACGUGUCAUCUCGCGAGAAACGAUGGAUUCCUUAAUUGGGUUAAAACUGAAAGCGUUAAGAUCAUAAGGUGGAGGAGAGGAAUCAGCAGACAUGGAAAUGGUCAUGUUUUGCUGGGCGGAUUUAACAGGUUUUAGUCUAGCUUGUGAAAAAAGAGGGACACCAGAGAAGGAUGAUUUGUGGGUGUCCAAGAAAUUGGUCUUGGUAACAACAGAGGAGGCCAAGGUUGAUGCCAUGGUUGCCAUAGACAAAGCUUGAGAUCUUGAGAGAGGAGUUUUUUUUGAGAAUUAGAAGAAU